rnacentral:lncRNA from 12 species
GUUAGCAGGAGUGGAGAAGCAUUGUUUGAGGCCAGGACAUCUUUUGGGGGCCCUGGGGGACAUGAUGCAGAGCUCUUACCAUUCAGGUGACCUCAUCAGGGCUGCUGGGGCGGGGGAAGGAUGGAUGUCUGAUUGUUAAAAGGCCACAUUCCCGGGAGAGCUCGAAACUGUAAUCAAGGCUGGGUUCGCCGUCCCAGGGAGCCAAUGAGUCCGUUUGAGCUUGUUCCUUCUUGACAACGUGUGUGAGGCAAGAGGAAGCUCCUGCCCAGGAAAGAAAGAGGCGUCGCCAGCUUUGAGGACAGACACUGAGCAGAAGGAAGCGCCCCGGCCACCUCAGCCGCGGCCACUGUCGCCUCCAGGCCUCGCCUGGGCAGGAAGCCUGGGAGCAGAUGGGGGUUCCACUCAGAAAACAGAGGAGGUGAGGAAGAGCGGGGAGGCUCUGGGCUCCGCCGUUCACACGCAGUGCACCAGCCAUGUCCCACGUGUGUUCGGGGAAGAAGCCAGGGCUUUGCAGUGGGAACCUGAGAGUGCGGGACGGGCGUGUGAUCUCCAGGACACUUCUCACCCAGGGCCAGACACGGGACCAUGUGUCAGCGUCCAGAGUCCUCCUGGAUGGGGAGAGGCGGUCGCCGUUCCCGCAGAUAGCCCUUGUUGGGACCUUCCCCUGCUGCUCGCCACUCGGUGGUGACAUUGGCCACUUGCAGAUGUAGAGUCUCAUGUUCCCCUCCCAGCAGCAAAGGUGACUUUCUUUUGUGAUGCGCCCCACCUAGAAUUCCUCCACGGGGCUCAGUUCACAGUAACACACCCCAGACCCAAGACGAGAAGGCAAAUCUGCCGCGUCCACCUCUCCUCUGAUUCGGUGGCUGGAAGGAAGGUGGGUCAGCUAUUGCGCCGAGAGCGCUGAGGGCCCCGGGGUGGGGGUCCUUCUCCCUCCUCGAAGGGCACGGGGACGCGGACUCCAACCUCAGCUGCUAGACACCCGCUUCCCUUUCAAAUGGGCCCGACGAAGCCCGCCCCCCACCCCCGUGCCGAGAGUGGCUCCCCCGUUGCCACACCGUGUAGGACACUGGGGCCGUCCUGGCGGGGAGGGGGCAAGACCCCCUCGGGCCCCAGGGCUGGCAGCCUCGGCUGGGGCCUGGUUUUUCUAAUCUAAAUUCUCCUUUCUUAUUCUAUUUUGAGAUGCUCUCUGGGAUUUCAGGAAUGCU